rnacentral:sRNA from 1 species
AGUAGCAGAGGCAGCUUCUGAGAGCCUGGGCAGGCAGCAGCUGGCUGACCAAGUCCACUGGAAGAGAAGGCUUGUGCCAGCCGGGAGAAGGAAGCCGGGGACAGGAUGAAAGCAACAACACCUUUACAGACAGUCGACCGGCCCAAGGACUGGUACAAGACGAUGUUUAAGCAAAUUCACAUGGUGCACAAGCCGGAUGAUGACACAGACAUGUAUAAUACUCCUUAUACAUACAAUGCAGGUCUGUACAACCCACCCUACAGUGCUCAGUCACACCCUGCUGCAAAGACCCAAACCUACAGACCUCUUUCCAAAAGCCACUCUGACAACAGCCCCAAUGCCUUUAAGGAUGUGUCCUCCCCAGUGCCUCCCCCACAUGUUCCACCUCCAGUCCCACCGCUUCGACCAAGAGAUCGGUCUUCAACAGAAAAGCAUGACUGGGAUCCUCCAGACAGAAAAGUGGACACAAGAAAAUUUCGGUCUGAGCCAAGGAGUAUUUUUGAAUAUGAACCUGGCAAGUCAUCAAUUCUUCAGCAUGAAAGACCAGUUACCAAGCCUCAAGCUUCCUGAUUGAUUGUCAUUCUAAUGGAUCAAGAUUAUAUUUCACUUUGCAUUUAAUUAUAUGCAAACAAAAAUAUCUAUACACUUAAGAAGAACCACUUGCCUCCUCGAAGCGCAGGUUCACACAUAGGUCUUCCCUUGGCCUUCUUUAGUUUUGAUUCCCCAAUACUCCCUUGCAUGUCCUUUGCUUCCCCUCAGAAAUC